AGCACGAUAUACACGGAUACACCUUGGCGAUACUCGGUGCCGGUGUCGAUCCGCCAGUGUCGUGCGAG
rnacentral:snoRNA from 12 species